rnacentral:rRNA from 1 species
GAAUCUUGCGCAAUGGGCGAAAGCCUGACGCAGCCAUGCCGCGUGAAUGAUGAAGGUCUUAGGAUUGUACUAUUCUUUCACCGGGGACGAUAAUGACGGUACCCGGAGAAGACGCCCCGGCUAACUUCGUGCAAGCAGCCGCGGUAAUACGAAGGGGGCUAGCGUGGCUCGGAAGUACUGGGCGUAAAGGGCGCGUAGGCGGAUCGUUAAGUCAGAGGUGAAAUCCCAGGGCUCAACCCUGGAACUGCCUUUGAUACUGGAGAUAUUGAGUAUGAGAGAGGUAGGUGGAAGUAAGAGUGGAGAGGUGAGAGAAGUAGAUAUUCGGAAGAAAAAAAGUGGAGAAGGCGACAUACUGGCUCAUUACUGAAGCUGAGGCGCGAAAGCGUGGGGAGCAAACA